UCAAGUGGUAGGCCUGUAAAUCCUGUCAUCUGCUCAUUAUUGGUGUUAAUGGUGUUUUUCACAUGCAUACUUUUUAUGCUAGUUUCAUUCUCAAAUAGAUCUGAUACUUUAGUUUCAACAAAUCUUUAAUAAACAAAUAGUUCACUUUUUUUAGGUCCUGACUGCCACCAGUUGAGUCAAUGAUUCUGUGGAGAGACAGUCUGGGCAGCAGCAACAAGACAACUAUUACAAAUAGAGACGGGUUUCAAAAACUGGUACUAAUUUGGUUCCUGACUUGUUCAAUACUGAAAAGAAUGAUAUAAGCUACAGGAUCAAUAGUGCUGCUAUCAGUAUUCUUGUAACGUUGAUUCAUUAACCUUUAGACACAACCACAUAUCAUCUAAAUCAUCUCCAAGUGGAUGUCAUCAAGGAUCCAGGAUCAAGAGAUCAUUCUUCAUGAAGACUGUUCCAUAGGAAGCAGUGAAUCCUGGGUGAAAAAGUAAACCUGGUUGUUUCAGCAUCACUCAGGCAAGACUAAAUACAUUUAAAUUGAUUUCAGUUUGUUAUAUGUUUCAGGUCAUCCUGACCAUUCUGCUGUCCUGGACGUGAGGAUAUGGUGAAACUGCAUUUUUCAUGGUUAAAAGAUUUGUGCAGCAGUAUCCAGAUAUACAAACAGCCUUCCUGGACCCACACGACUAAAGGCUCCGGAGGAGAGACAGGGAAAGAUGAAAAAUAAGGAAGUCUGGGAACAACUGAAGAAGACAGCAGUGAGGAAAGGAAGUAAUCAUCAGAAUCUCAGAGAAGGAUAUUGACAGUGCAGGCUCAGGAUGAAGAAGAGGGGAAGAACACGUUUAACAAUUUUCUCAUACCUUUGCCAUGUGUUAAAA